rnacentral:ribozyme from 1 species
CUUAUUUUUUCUUUUUUUUCUUGGAUUUCUUUUUCUUAUUUUUUGAUCCUUUUUUUGAAGUUGGUGAUCGAUAAAGAGCUUUAUACAAAUCACUUUCCAGGUUU